rnacentral:rRNA from 1 species
AGUGAACGCUGGCGGUAGGCCUAACACAUGCAAGUCGAACGGCAGCACAGUAAGAGCUUGCUCUUACGGGUGGCGAGUGGCGGACGGGUGAGGAAUACAUCGGCAUCUACUUUUUCGUGGGGGAUAACGUAGGGAAACUUACGCUAAUACCUCAUACGACCUACGGGUGAAAGCAGGGGAUCUUCGGACCUUGCGCGACUGAAUGAGCCGCGGUCGGAUUAGCUAGUUGGCGGGGUAAAGGCCCACCACGGCGACGAUCCGUAGCUGGGCUGCGAGGAGGAUGAGCCACACUGGGACUGAGACACGGCCCAGACUCCUAGGGGAGGCAGCAGUGGGGAAGAGUGGACGAUGUGGGGAAGCCUGAACCAGCGAUACCGCGUUGGUGAAGAAGGCCUUCGGGUUGGAAAGCCCUUUUGUUGGGAAAGAAAGGCAGCAGGUUAAUACCCCGCUGUUCUGACGGUACCCGAAGAAGAAGCACCGGCUAACUUCGUG